GUAAGUGUUUAAGGGCGCAUGGUGGAUGCCUUGGCAUCGAGAGCCGAUGAAGGACGUAGGAGGCUGCGAUAUGCCUCGGGGAGCUGCCAACCGAGCAUUGAUCCGAGGAUUUCCGAAUGGGGAAACCCAGCACGAGUGAUGUCGUGUUACCCGCAUCUGAAUAUAUAGGGUGCGGGAGGGAACGCGGGGAAGUGAAACAUCUCAGUACCCGUAGGAGAAGAAAACAAUUGUGAUUCCGUAAGUAGUGGCGAGCGAACGCGGAACAGGCUAAACCGCACGCAUGUGAUACCGGGUAGGGGUUGUGUGUGCGGGGUUGUGGGAGGAUACAUCUCAGCUCUACCUGGCUGAGGGGUAGUCAGAAAGUGUCGUGGUUAGCGGAAGUGGCCUGGGAUGGUCUGCCGUAGACGGUGAGAGCCCGGUACGCGAAAACCUGUCACCUACCUUGUAUCAAUUCCCGAGUAGCAGCGGGCCCGUGGAAUCUGCUGUGAAUCUGCCGGGACCACCCGGUAAGCCUAAAUACUUCUCGAUGACCGAUAGCGGAUUAGUACCGUGAGGGAAUGGUGAAAAGUACCCCGGGAGGGGAGUGAAAUAGUACCUGAAACCGUGUGCCUACAAUCCGUCAGAGCCUCCUUGUGGGGUGAUGGCGUGCCUUUUGAAGAAUGAGCCUGCGAGUCAGGGACACGUCGCGAGGUUAACCCGUGCGGGGUAGCCGCAGCGAAAGCGAGUCUGAAUAGGGCGCAUCCCCUUUUGGGGUGUAGUGGCGUGUUCUGGACCCGAAGCGGAGUGAUCUACCCAUGGCCAGGGUGAAGCGCGGGUAAGACCGCGUGGAGGCCCGAACCCACUUAGGUUGAAGACUGAGGGGAUGAGCUGUGGGUAGGGGUGAAAGGCCAAUCAAACUCCGUGAUAGCUGGUUCUCCCCGAAAUGCAUUUAGGUGCAGCGUUACGUGGUUCACCACGGAGGUAGAGCUACUGGAUGGCCGAUGGGCCCUACUAGGUUACUGACGUCAGCCAAACUCCGAAUGCCGUGGUGUAAAGCGUGGCAGUGAGACGGCGGGGGAUAAGCUCCGUACGUCGAAAGGGAAACAGCCCAGAUCGCCGGCUAAGGCCCCUAAGCGUGUGCUAAGUGGAAAAGGAUGUGCAGUCGCAAAGACAACCAGGAGGUUGGCUUAGAAGCAGCCACCCUUGAAAGAGUGCGUAAUAGCUCACUGGUCAAGUGAUUGUGCGCCGAUAAUGUAGCGGGGCUCAAGCACACCGCCGAAGCCGCGGCACAUUCACCGUACGGUGGGUGUGGGUAGGGGAGCGUCCCUCAUUCAGCGAAGCCUCCGGGUAACCGGUGGUGGAGGAUGGGGGAGUGAGAAUGCAGGCAUGAGUAGCGAUAAGGCAAGUGAGAACCUUGCCCGCCGUAAGACCAAGGGUUCCUGGGCCAGGCCAGUCCGCCCAGGGUGAGUCGGGACCUAAGGCGAGGCCGACAGGCGUAGUCGAUGGACAACGGGUUGAUAUUCCCGUACCCGUGUAUGGGCGUCCCUGAUGAAUCAGCGGUACUAACCACCCAAAACCGGAUCGACCGUUCCCCUUCGGGGGCACGGAGUUUCGGGGCUGCGUGGGACCUUCGUUGGUAGUAGUCAAGCGAUGGGGUGACGCAGGAAGGUAGCCGUACCAGUCAGUGGUAAUACUGGGGCAAGCCUGUAGGGAGAGCGAUAGGCAAAUCCGUCGCUCAUUAAUCCUGAGAGGUGAUGCAUAGCCGAUUGAGGUGAAUUCGGUGAUCCUCUGCUGCCAAGAAAAGCCUCUAGCGAGCACAUACACGGCCCGUACCCCAAACCAACACAGGUGGUCAGGUAGAGAAUACCAAGGCGUACGAGAUAACUAUGGUUAAGGAACUCGGCAAAAUGCCCCCGUAACUUCGGGAGAAGGGGGGCCGGAAUACCGUGAACACCCUUGCGGUGGGAGCGGGAUUCGGCCGCAGAAACCAGUGGGUAGCGACUGUUUACUAAAAACACAGGUCCGUGCGAAGUCGCAAGACGAUGUAUACGGACUGACGCCUGCCCGGUGCUGGAAGGUUAAGAGGACCCGUUAACCGCAAGGUGAAGCGGAGAAUUUAAGCCCCAGUAAACGGCGGUGGUAACUAUAACCAUCCUAAGGUAGCGAAAUUCCUUGUCGGGUAAGUUCCGACCUGCACGAAUGGCGUAACGACUUCCCAACUGUCUCAACCAUAGACUCGGCGAAAUUGCACUACGAGUAAAGAUGCUCGUUACGCGCGGCAGGACGAAAAGACCCCGGGACCUUCACUACAACUUGGUAUUGGUGUUCGGUACGGUUUGUGUAGGAUAGGUGGGAGACUGUGAAAUACAGACGCCAGUUUGUAUGGAGUCAUUGUUGAAAUACCACUCUGAUCGUAUUGGACACCUAACGUCGAACCCUUAUCGGGUUCACGGACAGUGCCUGGCGGGUAGUUUAACUGGGGCGGUUGCCUCCUAAAAUGUAACGGAGGCGCCCAAAGGUUCCCUCAACCUGGACGGCAAUCAGGUGUUGAGUGUAAGUGCACAAGGGAGCUUGACUGCGAGACUUACAAGUCAAGCAGGGACGAAAGUCGGGACUAGUGAUCCGGCACCCCCGAGUGGAAGGGGUGUCGCUCAACGGAUAAAAGGUACCCCGGGGAUAACAGGCUGAUCUUCCCCAAGAGUCCAUAUCGACGGGAUGGUUUGGCACCUCGAUGUCGGCUCGUCGCAUCCUGGGGCUGGAGCAGGUCCCAAGGGUUGGGCUGUUCGCCCAUUAAAGCGGCACGCGAGCUGGGUUUAGAACGUCGUGAGACAGUUCGGUCUCUAUCCGCCGCGCGCGUCAGAAACUUGAGGAAACCUGUCCCUAGUACGAGAGGACCGGGACGGACGAACCUCUGGUAUACCAGUUGUUCCACCAGGAGCACGGCUGGAUAGCCACGUUCGGACAGGAUAACCGCUGAAAGCAUCUAAGCGGGAAACCUUCUCCAAGAUCAGGUUUCUCACCCUUUUAGAGGGAUAAGGCCCCCCGCAGACCACGGGAUCGAUAGGUCAGACCUGGAAGCUCAGUAAUGAGUGCAGGGAACUGGCACUAACCGGCCGAAAACUUACCAACACACAA
rnacentral:rRNA from 1 species